UACGUAGGGGGCAAGCGUUGUCCGGAAUCAUUGGGCGUAAAGCGCGUGUAGGCGGCCCGGUAAGUCCGCUGUGAAAGUCGGGGGCUCAACCCUCGGAUGCCGGUGGAUACUGUCGGGCUUGAGUACGGAAGAGGCGAGUGGAAUUCCUGGUGUAGCGGUGAAAUGCGCAGAUAUCAGGAGGAACACCAAUUGCGAAGGCAGCUCGCUGGGACGUGACUGACGCUGAGACGCGAAAGCGUGGGGAGCAAACAGG
rnacentral:rRNA from 1 species